rnacentral:piRNA from 1 species
UGAUAGGAGACUCGGUAUUCCUGUGUGGU